GACGAACGCUGGCGGCGUGCUUAACACAUGCAAGUCGAGCGGUAAGGCCCUUUCGGGGUACGACGAGCGGCGAACGGGUGAGUAACACGUGGGUGACCUGCCCUCAGCUCUGGGAUAAGCCUGGGAAACCGGGUCUAAUACCGGAUAUGACUCCAUGACGCAUGUUGUGGGGUGGAAAGCCUUGUGCGGCUGAGGAUGGGCCCGCGGCCUAUCAGCUUGUUGGUGGGGUGAUGGCCUACCAAGGCGACGACGGGUAGCCGGCCUGAGAGGGCGACCGGCCACACUGGGACUGAGACACGGCCCAGACUCCUACGGGAGGCAGCAGUGGGGAAUCUUGCGCAAUGGGCGAAAGCCUGACGCAGCGACGCCGCGUGAGGGAUGACGGCCU
rnacentral:rRNA from 1 species